UACGUAGGGUGCGAGCGUUGUCCGGAAUUAUUGGGCGUAAAGGGCUCGUAGGCGGUUUGUCGCGUCGGGAGUGAAAACCCAGGGCUUAACCCUGGGCUGGCUUUCGAUACGGGCAGACUAGAGGUAUGCAGGGGAGAACGGAAUUCCUGGUGUAGCGGUGAAAUGCGUAGAUAUCGGGAGGAAUACCGAUGGCGAAGGCAGGUCUCUGGGCUGACACUGACGCUCAUGCACGAAAGCGUGGGGAGCAAACAGG
rnacentral:rRNA from 1 species